GUCAAAAUUAUAAUUAUGUGAACAAAAACAAAUCUAUGAUAGAAAGAUUUCUGUGUGGAGAAUUUCUAGGACAAUAAGUAUUGUCAACACCAUGAACAUUAUUUGAAGAAUUAUUUUAGAACUUCAUGGUUGAUAACACAUCCUUUGAAUGAGUCUUAUAAGUAGUGUUGGUAUAUUUUAGGCAGUGAGAGCCUACUGAUG